rnacentral:rRNA from 1 species
CCUACGGGGGGCUGCAGUGGGGAAUAUUGGACAAUGGGGGCAACCCUGAUCCAGCCAUGCCGCGUGUGUGAAGAAGGCCCUCGGGUUGUAAAGCGCUUUCAGUGAGGAAGAACGCCUGGUGGUUAAUACCCAUCAGGAAAGACAUCACUCACAGAAGAAGCACCGGCUAACUCCGUGCCAGCAGCCGCGGUAAUACGGAGGGUGCGAGCGUUAAUCGGAAUUACUGGGCGUAAAGCGCGCGUAGGUGGCUUGAUAAGCCGGUUGUGAAAGCCCCGGGCUCAACCUGGGAACGGCAUCCGGAACUGUCAAGCUAGAGUGCAGGAGAGGAAGGUAGAAUUCCCGGUGUAGCGGUGAAAUGCGUAGAGAUCGGGAGGAAUACCAGUGGCGAAGGCGGCCUUCUGGACUGACACUGACACUGAGGUGCGAAAGCGUGGGUAGCAAACAGGAUUAGAUACCCCAGUAGUC